CUAGCCUCUUGAAGGGUAGGGCAUGUCUAUAUUGCAUCUGCCUCACUCCUUCCUCUCUGUUUGACCCCCAGGACAACAGAUGACUCUGAGGAGUCCUUCCAUAACUGAUUGGAGAUGCUAGCUGUCAUACAACAUUCUUGUCAUCACAGAGAUGUGAUCUCUACAUGGAUGGCAGCACCUUUGUUCAAGAAGGAACCAGACAGGGUUUCUCUGUGUAUCUUUGGAGGAAAUUUUAAUUUGUAAAGCCGAAAGUCUUCAUAUUUGGGCCGAUGAGAUGGACCUUGAGCCUGGUAACUUAUGUUCGAUUCCAAGACUCAUACUUAAGAAGAUGUCUUCUGGCUUUCCCGUGGGAGUCUGGGUAUGCACACGUGUGCAUACAUACACCCAAAUAAAUACAUUUUAAAAUACAAAAAA
rnacentral:lncRNA from 1 species